UUGUCACACCUGUGUACCCAGUCCCACCAGACACUCAGGAGGUAGGCAGAGGAGUGCCAAGAGCUUCUGCUAUUUGUGGAGUUUGAGGCCAUCCUUAGCUACAUAUCUUAAGACAAAACAACACAACCCGUACUCUCACUCUAACUGGAUAGUGUGAACCAGGACAGAAACCAUUCCCUUUCAGAGUAAUGCUGCAUGCUCCCAUGGGACAGUGACAGGGCAGGGAGAGUGGCUUGACACUGGUCUCACAUAACUCAGCUGGUGACUGACCACAAGGAAGAACCUUCCCAAAGGCCAGGCUCUCCUCUAGUUUCCUUUCCUUUCCUUUCCCUUUCUUUUUUUCUUUUUUCUUUUUCUUUUUUUCUUCUUUCUUGAGACAUGGUCUUGCUAUACAACUCUGGCUAGCCUAGAACGCUACAUAUAUAUAGACUGCACACAGAUGGAACUUCCGGUGGCUUUACUGCUUCUGUCACCCGAGUGCUGGGAUGUGGUGAUUUGAAUAUGCUUGGCCCCUGGGAAGUGGCACUGUGGGGGAGGUGUGGCCUUGUUGGAAGAAGUGUGUCACUGUGUGGGUGGGUUUUGAGGUCUCCUAGUGCCCAAGUUCUGCCCAGUGUAGAAGAGAGCUUCCUUGAGGCUGCCUGAAUAAGAGAGUCUUUCUCUGGUUGCUUUCAGAUCAAGAUGUAGAACUCUUGGUUCCUCCAGCACCACGUCUGCCUGCACACUGCCAUGCUUCCCGCCAUGAUGGUAAUGGACUGAACCUCUGCUCCUGUAAGCCAGCCCCAAUUAAAUGUUUGCCUUUAUGAGAGUUGCGUUGGUCAUAGUCUCCACAGCUAUAUAACCCGAACUAAGGCAAAGGAUUACAGGCAUUCCUGGAGCACACUAUGUAGACCAGGCUGGCCUCAAACUUGCAGUGAUCUUCCUGCCUCUGCCUCCCGAGUGCUGGGGUUAUAGGUGUGAACUAUUAUGCCAGACUUCUCUAGUUUUCUAAAUCACAUGAAGAAUCUGUACGUUGAACUCCGUAACCCCGGUUCCAACUGAGUUCUAACACUGUAAUGAUACUCAUACAAAGAAGAGGGGGACCCUGCUGUGGUGAAGCACACCUGGAAUUCCAAGUUCAAGGCCAGCCUGGUCUACCCAGCCAGUUCCAGGCCAGCCAUGGUUACACAGUGAGAUACGGUAUGGGGGGAAAAAAGGAGGCUAUUUGACUAAAUCUAAACUCAUCCAAGUAUAGUUCAUGUACUUACUAAUUUAUUCUAUUAUUUAAAAACAAAUUUGGCUCCCGACAGGUCGCAUGUGUACACCCACCCAGGGGCAAUCUGGAUUCAAAAAUGAAAGACACGCGUGCACACACACACACACACACACACACACACACACACGAGUGUGCCAGUUAAUUUUUGACAAGCCGUGACUUCCCUGAAGGCUGAGUACUCCUAAACCUUCCCCUGCUACCCCAGCCCCAGUGGGGAAGUGGCCAUUGGCCCCUUACCUGGAUUCUUACAUGGCUGGUUGGCUUUCUCUCCUGCAGCGCUUAUGUCCCAUCCUUCUCCCGGGAGUCAUGGUGACUCCCUCCUUCCUUCCAUUCCUAGGCCUCGAAGAACCAAAUGUCCCACCUCAGUCUAUCUGCCCAGACACUGACUGUUAGCUCUUUAUUGAUCGAUCAAAAACUAAUUGGGGACAAGGACCUUUAGCAUUUGGACACACGGAUUCCCGAUUUUGGGGGCCAGAUUAAUUCAAAGCAUUAGAACCAAUCUUCAACAUUUUAAGAUUUAUUUUAGUUUACAUGUAUGGAAGUUUUGCCUGCAUGCACGUAUGUUUAGCAUGUGCGUGUGCAUGUUGGAUCUCCUAGAUAAAGGGUUAUGAGUAUUUGUGAGCCACACAUGGAUGCCAGGAACCAAACCCAGGUCCUCUGCAAGAGCAACCAGGGCUAAGCCAUAUCUCUGGACCUGACUGAUCGAUUGAUUGAUUGAUUUUUUUGUUUGUUUGUUUGGGUUUUUUUUUUUUUUGAGACAGGGUUUCUCUGUAUAGCCCUGGCUGUCCUGGAACUCACUUUGUAGACCAGGCUGGCCUCGAUCGAACUCAGAAAUCCGCCUGCCUCUGCCUCCUGAGUGCUGGGAUUAAAGGAGUGCGCCACCACGCCCAGCGAUUGAUUGAUUUUUACUUAUUUAUUGUAGUGGUUUGAAUAAAAAAGGGCUUCCAGGGCUGGUGAGAUGGCUCAGUGGGUAAGAGUACCCGACUGCUCUUCUGAAGGUCCAGAGUUCAAAUCCCAACAACCACAUGGUGGCUCACAACCAUCCGUAACAAGAUCUGACUCGCUCUUCAGGUGUGUCUGAAGACAGCUACAGUGUACUUACAAAUAAUCAAUAAAUAAAUCUUUUAAAAAAAAAAAAAGAAAGAAAAGGGCUUCCAUAGCCCUGUAGAGAGUAGCACUAUUAGGAGGUGUGGCCUUGUUAGAGUGGGUGUGACCUUAUUAGAGUGGGUGUGGCCUUGUUAGAGUUGGGGUGGCUUUGUUGGAUGAAGUGUGUCACUAGGGGCAGGCUUGGGGGUCUUAGAAGCUCAAGCCUGGCCAGUGUGUCACUGUCACCCCCUGCUGCCUGAGGACCCAGAGGUAGAAUUCUCAGCUCCUUCUCCAGCACCUAUCUAACUGCAGGCUGCGAUGCUUCUGGGCUAACCCUCUGAACUGUACACCAGCCCAAACUAAAUGGUAUCUCUGUACAUCAAUAAACACUAAGACUUUUAUUUUGUUGUUUUGUUUUGUUUUGGAGUAGGAGCUCUUUAAAACUCUGGCUGUUUUAGAACUCACUCUAUCAAACUCAGAGAUGCAUCUGCCUCUACCUCCAGAGUGCUGGCAUUAAAGUUAUGCGUUGCCACUGCCCAGCCAAUUCAUUUAUUUUUAAUCUAGUGUAUACAUGAGUGUGUGGGUGUUUUCAGAGGUAUCAGAUUCCCUCAGAGCUGGAGUUUAAGUGGUUGUGAGCUACCUGACAUGGGAAUUGAACUCUGGUCCUCUGGAGGGCAAUGCACACCCUUAACCACUGUCUCUUCUCCUCGGUCCCAAUUUGCUUAUUUAUUUUUGAGACACAGCCUCACAUAGCCUAGGAUAACCUCAAACUAACUAUGAAGCCAAGGAUGGCAGUUCUCCUGCCUCCACCUCCUGCUCUCAAAUGCCAGGAUUAGAGUUGUGUGCCAACAUGCCAGGUUUUACACAGUGCUAGGAUCAGACCCGGGGCUUUGUGUGUGCCGGGCUAACCACUCUGCCAACUGAGCAGUUGUACCCCAAUCUCUGGGUUAUUUUACUGUUGUCACCCCCUUGUAUUACAAUCUGAAUGUAAAUAAAAAAGAUUCUGCCAUACGGGGCUAUGGGACAUCGGGUUCCACCCAAAUCCUAGACCUUACUCUGCACACUGUAACCUGGAAUUCUCCACGUUCCCUCCACAGCACAGUGUAGCACCUGUCAGCCUGACAGGCCCCAGCGGUUUCAGACCGAUAUUCUCAAUGCCCACUGUCCUUAUACGACUUAGUCCUGGCGGUCAGAGGGGUCAGGGGGGGUCAGAAACAGUAAAUGCAGAUGGCCUCGGGUCUGCACCAGGCCUGGGAUGUCCAAGGCUGAGGAGGGUCAGGAAAGCUGGUUCUAAAGAGAAGACAGGACCAAAACCCAGCUCUGCCACCAACAUGUCUGACCCAACACGAGUCACUCAUCUCCUCUGUGCCUCAAAUUUUCCUACAAUAAACAGACGACAACAACAGAACCUUCUCACGGAGCUGCCUUGAGCAGAGCAGAUCCAGAAGGCAUCUGGCACAGCGCCUGGUCGCUGUCAUUUCAGAAAACAGGCUGUGCAUUGGCUCAGUCCAGAGGUAACUCAGCUGUCCCAUCUCAGAGACCAGGGACCGAAAGGAAAAAGACAAAACGGCCGCUUCCUCAGGAGGGCGAGAGCUGUUUGCAAGCAUGCUGGGAUCUGCAGGGAUUGGGAGAGGUUUUCAGAGAUGAUGUGGAUCUGACAGGGAAUGGGGGAGAGGACACAGGGGGAUGAGGGGGAUCAACUCUAAGCUGAGGGAAGGAAGUGAAGAUAGGGGCUGAGAGCCUAGACUAAAGCCAAACAGGAAGUGGGUUCAGGAGAUCGUCAAAUCCCUGCAGUCGCCCCACAUCACAGGCUGUGCCUCUUGCCCCUCAGACCUUCAUUUGGGUAUCAGGAAGCAGUCUCUGUAGGCCGUCCCAUCCCUUUCUCGAGGUACUUAACUAUGACCCCUCCAAGGACAUAGGUACAAAGGUCAGCCAUGAGCUCGACCAGUUCCAGGCAGGCACCAGCUUUUAAGAACAGUCAUUAUUGCGCAUCAUCAGUCCUUACCAGGAAACAGGAGGGCAGAUGACCUGAAUCCUGCGGAUCUGCACUUGUGAAGGGAACAGAGUACACUGAUAGUAUAGCUAGGAGCCCGCCCUGUGAACCAGGAGACCCAGCUCUCCAGCUAUCAUCUCAUCGUGGGGCUGCUGCUCACUGGGAGAGCCGAGCCCUGGCCUGCUAUCUGCCAAACACACAGGAAGCCUGAGGCCAACAUCCAGACCAGCUUUGCCAUGACUUCUGAAGAAAAGAUAAGCUAUCUAAGAGCUCUUCUUCAGCUUUCCUGGAGACAGAAUAUAUUUACUACCUCCUUAGGAAGCCUUAAGAAUUCCCAGCACUUGGGAGGUUGAGGCAUAGAUUUCAAGCUGGAGGCCUACCUGGACUAUAGAGCAAGACCCUGACUCAGAAACAAAACCCUUACUGUCGGCGGCAGUGUGUCUGUCCCUCAGGCCACACAUCUGAUGGUUCAGUGAGGCAGACUGACAGCUCGGAUGAUGGAAGCCGGUUCCUGUUCUGACUUACUUAAUGCAGACUCCACAGCAUGCUGGCAGGGCAGGACAAGUGGGGCCAGAUGGCAGGUCACAGACAUGACAGGUACAGGCAGACAGGGAAGGGCUAGGUGGCAUCAGCAAAGCCUGAUUCUCCACAACUUUGAGAUCUUAAGUUUCAGAAGCAGAAGCCUAGGUGCCUGCCUCAGCCCCUCACAGCCUGCACACAAUUGCCCAGAGUCUCAGGCUCCUCCGUGCACACUGUCUGCUCCUCCCUGUGCCCUCCCCCACUUCCCAUGGACAUCUUUUAAACCUGGGUUUGGUGGCUCACACUUAUAAUUCCAGCACUUGGGAGAUGGUCAAGAAGAUCAGGAGUUCAAGGACAUCCUCGGCUACAUAAUGAAUUUGAGGCUAGCCUGGGCUACAUGACACCUGUCUCAAUAAAACACAGAGGAGGGGGCUGAAGAGAUGGUCCAGUGGUUAAGAGCAGUGGUUGCUCUUCCAGAGGACCCAGAGUUCAGGGUUCAAUCCCUACUACUCUCACAUGGCAGCUCACAACUGUCUAUAACUCCAGUUCCAGGGGAUCUGACAUCCUCACACAGACAUACAUGCAGGCACAUAAUAUAAAACAAAAAUAAAUGUUCAUAUGAUGAAAGUAAAUAAUUCAUUUAAAGAGAUUAAGGAAAAUACAGAGGGGAAAAAAAAAGCUUACAGGAUAGCAAAGAAGACAAUGACUUUUUCCAUUGAAAUCCACAACCAUUGUAAAAUCUGUCUUCUUUUACUAAGGUCACAACAACUUCCUGAUUCUCGUAGAUGGCAGUCCCCUGUGCCCUUGCUCCACAGGCAACCUGCUCCAUGCCCAAUAGCCCCCAAAGAGAGUAAUUUGUACAGCAAGGGACCCAACAACCUAUUUGAAGUCCUGCCUGUUUCAAGAACUGUGUGGCAAAGUCUUUCCUUUUUGCAAAACCCUCAUGCCUAUCCCAUUUCAUCUCUGAUCCAAACACUUCGCUGCCUGCUAAGCAGGGAUUCCCAGGAGCAGGACUCCAUGUCAGCUUCCCAAGGUAAUCGAACCCACAGGAGGAGGGCACAGUUCAUAUUCACAGAAGGAAUGGAGAUUUAGAGCUCUAGCUCUCAGGAUGGCUCUGCUCCAACCAGCCUUGCCUGCACCGACUGCCAGACAUGUGGGAGUUACAGAAUAUUGUCACUUAGACCCAGCCAAUUCUGAUUUCUCUUUAAAAGCCAUUUGUCUAUCCGGCUGAGUUACUGUCUAGUUCUUUUAUGCUGUGGCCAGUGCCUGGUCCUGACCAAGUCACCACUUAGGGAGGUGACAGCCAGCACAAAGCUCACAGUGAUCCACUUCAUUCUGGGAAAUUUUGGUGGUUGCUUGAUACUGUGUAACCCUAGCGAUGUUAUUAUUAUUACUACUAUUAUUAUAAAUGUAUACUAUAAAGUAGACAUGAUUUUGGCAAAA